UACGUAGGGGGCAAGCGUUGUCCGGAUUUAUUGGGCGUAAAGAGCGUGUAGGCGGCCAUGCAGGUCCGCUGUGAAAACUCGAGGCUCAACCUCGAGACGUCGGUGGAAACCGUGUGGCUAGAGUCCGGAAGAGGAGAGUGGAAUUCCUGGUGUAGCGGUGAAAUGCGCAGAUAUCAGGAAGAACACCUAUGGCGAAGGCAGCUCUCUGGGACGGUACUGACGCUGAGACGCGAAAGCGUGGGGAGCGAACAGG
rnacentral:rRNA from 1 species